AUACGGAGGGUGCAAGCGUUAUCCGGAUUUAUUGGGUUUAAAGGGUGCGCAGGCGGACCUGUCAGUCAGUGGUGAAAUCCCGGGGCUCAACCCCGGAACUGCCAUUGAUACUACAGGUCUUGAAUACGGUUGAAGUAGGCGGAAUGUAGCAUGUAGCGGUGAAAUGCAUAGAUAUGCUACAGAACACCGAUCGCGAAGGCAGCUUACUAAGCCGAUAUUGACGCUCAGGCACGAAAGCGUGGGUAGCGAACAGGAUUAGAAACCCCUGUAGUCC
rnacentral:rRNA from 1 species